GAUGAACGCUGGCGGCGUGCCUAAUACAUGCAAGUCGAGCGAACAGACGAGGAGCUUGCUCCUCUGACGUGAGCGGCGGACGGGUGAGUAACACGUGGAUAACCUACCUAUAAGACUGGGAUAACUUGGGGAAACCGGAGAUAAUACCGGAGAAGAUAUUGAACCGCAUGGUUCAAUAGUGAAAGACGGCUGUGCUGGCACGUAUAGAUGGAUCCGCGCCGCAUGAGCUGGUUGUGAAGGUAACGGCCUACCAAGGCAACUAGGCGUAGCCGACCUGUGAGGGGGGUCGCCGACCUGAGAACGUGGACAGGCUCCAUGCUCCUGCGGGAGGCCGCAGUAGGCAAUCUUCGGCAAUAGUCGGAAACAUGACGGAGCGGGGGCGCGUGAGUUACGAAGGUCUUCCGAUCGUAAAGCUCGCUUAUUAGGGAUGAACAAAUGUGUAAGUAGCUAUGCACGUAUUGACGGUAACGGAUCAGAAAGCACCGGCUAACUACGUG
rnacentral:rRNA from 1 species